AUUCCACUAUGGAGACACUUCCUAAACAACUCCUUAAAUUGCUCCCAUGCAUCAUAUAAAGACUCCCCAUCGUUUUGGUGGAAAUUAUUUAUUUCACCUCUCAACUU